GAACCUAGGCUCAAAGGUACGUGUCUGUGGGUAUCUGGGAUUGAAGUUCCUACGUGAUUAAUGACUCUGUUCUCUCGGAACAUUCUUACCCUUUUUUAAACUGCCGACAGCAUUAGCUUUCUUAGAGGCAGAAACAAACACAGUCUUAGAUGGUCUAGUAACAUGUGUGCUACCCUCAACGUAUCCUAGACCUUUCCUAUCUCCUGCAGGCUUAUUCAUUCCCAAAAUAUUGUCCAAUUUCUUAGUCCCACUUAUGAAAGUCUGAAGAUGAGCAUUAGAUUUCUCCAAUUCACUAGUCAAAGUCUUAAUCUUGUCCUCUAACUUCUCAUUGACACACUUUAACUCACUACCACUCUUAAGUGAAUCCUGAAGAUUACUAGCAAGUUUCUCUUUUUCUCUUUCAAGUUCAUCAACCUUUUUGAGUAGGGCUUUAUUG
rnacentral:lncRNA from 1 species